rnacentral:rRNA from 1 species
CCUACGGGUGGCAGCAGUGAGGAAUAUUGGUCAAUGGCCGGAAGGCUGAACCAGCCAUGCCGCGUGAAGGGCAGGGGCCUAGGGGCGGUAAAAUUCUUUUGGGCGGGAGCAAGAAUGGUAACGUGUGGCCAGACGAGAGUACCGUAGGAAUAAGCAGCGGCUCACUCCGUGCCAGCAGCGGCGGUAAAACGGGGGGUGAAAGCGUUAGCCGGAAUUAUUGGGGUUAAAGGGGGCGUAGGCUGGGAGGUAGGGCAGCGGUGAACUGCCCCCGCUCAACUGGGUGAAGUGCCAUUGUUACUGGCUUGCUGGACUGCGGAUGCCGUGGGACGAAUGUGUGUUGUAGCGGU